AGGACGAACGCUGGCGGCGUGCUUAACACAUGCAAGUCGAGCGGAAAGGCCCUUCGGGGUACUCGAGCGGCGAACGGGUGAGUAACACGUGAGUAAUCUGCCCCUAGCUCUGGGAUAGCUCCGGGAAAACCGGGAUUAAUACCGGAUACGACCACCUUAGACAUCUUUUGUGGUGGAAAGAAUUUCGGCUAGGGAUGAGCUCGCGGCCUAUCAGCUUGUUGGUGGGGUAACGCCUACCAAGGCGACGACGGGUAGCCGGCCUGAGAGGGCGACCGGCCACACUGGGACUGAGACACGGCCCAGACUCCUACGGGAGGCAGCAGUGGGGAAUAUUGCGCAAUGGGCGAAAGCCUGACGCAGCGACGCCGCGUGGGGGAUGAAGGCCUUCGGGUUGUAAACCCUUUCAGCAGGGACGAAGCGAAAGUGACGGUACCUGCAGAAGAAGCGCCGGCUAACUACGUGCCAGCAGCCGC
rnacentral:rRNA from 1 species